rnacentral:rRNA from 1 species
UACGUAGGGGGCAAGCGUUGUCCGGAAUCAUUGGGCGUAAAGCGCGCGUAGGCGGCCCGGUAAGUCCGUUGUGAAAGUCAAAGGCUCAACCUUUGAAUGCCGAUGGAUACUGCGGGUCUCGAGUCCGGGAGAGGUGAGUGGAAUUCCUAGUGUAGAGGUGAAAUUCGUAGAUAUUAGGAAGAACACCAGUGGCGAAGGCGGCUCACUGGCCCGGUACUGACGCUGAGGCGCGAAAGCGUGGGGGAGCAAACAGG